rnacentral:rRNA from 1 species
UACGUAGGGGGCAAGCGUUGUCCGGAUUUAUUGGGCGUAAAGAGCGUGUAGGCGGCCAGGUAGGUCCGUUGUGAAACUCGAGGCUCAACCUCGAGACGUCGGCGGAAACCCUCUGGCUAGAGUCCGGAAGAGGAGAGUGGAAUUCCUGGUGUAGCGGUGAAAUGCGCAGAUAUCAGGAAGAACACCCGUGGCGAAGGCGGCUCUCUGGGACGGUACUGACGCUGAGACGCGAAAGCGUGGGGAGCGAACAGG